rnacentral:rRNA from 1 species
CCUACGGGAGGCAGCAGUGGGGAAUAUUGGACAAUGGGCGCAAGCCUGAUCCAGCCAUGCCGCGUGUGUGAAGAAGGUCUUCGGAUUGUAAAGCACUUUAAGUUGGGAGGAAGGGCAUUAACCUAAUACGUUAGUGUUUUGACGUUACCGACAGAAUAGGCACCGGCUAACUUCGUGCCAGCAGCCGCGGUAAU